rnacentral:rRNA from 1 species
AGGAUGAACGCUGGCGGCGUGCCUAAUACAUGCAAGUCGAGCGGUAAGGCCCCUUCGGGGGUACACGAGCGGCGGACGGCUGAGUAACGCGUGGGAACGUACCCCAAAGUGAGGGAUAAGCUUCAGAAAUGAAGUCUAAUACCGCAUGUGCUCUAAGGAGUAAAGCUUCGGCGCUUUGGGAACGGCCUGCGUCCGAUUAGCUUGUUGGUAAGGUAAUGGCUUACCAAGGCGACGAUCGGUAGCUGGUCUGAGAGGAUGAUCAGCCAGACUGGGACUGAGAACGGCCCAGACUCCUACGGGAGGCAGCAGUAGGAAUUUCCACAAUGGGC